AGGACGAACGCUGGCGGCGUGCUUAACACAUGCAAGUCGAGCGGAAAGGCCCUUCGGGGUACUCGAGCGGCGAACGGGUGAGUAACACGUGAGUAAUCUGCCCCUAGCUCUGGGAUAGCUCCGGGAAACCGGGAUUAAUACCAGAUACGACCACUUUAGACAUCUUCUGUGGUGGAAAGAACUUCGGCUAGGGAUGAACUCGCGGCCUAUCAGCUUGUUGGUGAGGUAACGGCUCACCAAGGCGACGACGGGUAGCCGGCCUGAGAGGGCGACCGGCCACACUGGGACUGAGACACGGCCCAGACUCCUACGGGAGGCAGCAGUGGGGAAUAUUGCGCAAUGGGCGAAAGCCUGACGCAGCGACGCCGCGUGGGGGAUGAAGGCCUUCGGUUGUAAACCCUUUCAGCAGGACGAAGCGAAAGUGACGGUACUGCAGAAGAAGCGCCGGCUAACUACGCGCCAGCAGCCGC
rnacentral:rRNA from 1 species